rnacentral:rRNA from 1 species
GCCAUGCUAGUUGUACGAGUUUAGACUCGUAGCAGAUAGCUCAGUAACACGUGGCCAAACUACCCUAUGGAUCCGGACAACCUCGGGAAACUGAGGCUAAUCCGGAAUACGACUCUCAGCCUGGAAGUGGCGAGAGUCAGAAACGCCCCGGCGCCAUAGGAUGUGGCUGCGGCCGAUUAGGUAGACGGUGGGGUAACGGCCCACCGUGCCCAUAAUCGGUACGGGUUGUGAGAGCAAGAGCCCGGAGACGGUAUCUGAGACAAGAUACCGGGCCCUACGGGGCGCAGCAGGCGCGAAACCUUUACACUGCACGAAAGUGCGAUAAGGGGACUCCAAGUGCGAGGGCAUAUAGUCCUCGCUUUUCACUACCGUAAGGAGGUAGUAGAAUAAGUGCUGGGCAAGACCGGCGCCAGCCGCCGCGGUAAUACCGGCAGCACGAGUGAUGACCGCUCUUAUUGGGCCUAAAGCGUCCGUAGCUGGCCACGCAAGUCUAUCGGGAAAUCCGCGCGCUUAACGCGCGGGCGUCCGGUGGAAACUGUGUGGCUUGGGACCGGAAGAUCCAGAGGGUACGUCUGGGGUAGGAGUGAAAUCCCGUAAUCCUGGACGGACCACCGGUGGCGAAAGCGCUCUGGAAAGACGGAUCCGACGGUGAGGGACGAAAGCUCGGGUCACGAACCGGAUUAGAUACCCGGGUAGUCCGAGCUGUAAACGAUGUCUGCUAGGUGUGCCACAGGCUACGAGCCUGUGGUGUGCCGUAGGGAAGCCGUGAAGCAGACCGCCUGGGAAGUACGUCCGCAAGGAUGAAACUUAA